AUUGAACGCUGGCGGCAGGCCUAACACAUGCAAGUCGGGCGAGCGUCGGUCGGGUUUGUAAUGUAUUGGGAUCUGCCUGAUGGAUGGUGAUAACUACUGGAAACGUUCGCUCAUUCCGCCUACCAUCCGAUGUACCCAUAUGGGAUUAGCUUGUAGGUGGGGUAACGGCUCACCUAGGCGACGAUCCCUAGCUGGUCUGAGAGGAUGACCAGACAAACGGGGACUGAGAAACGGACAAGACUCGUACGGGAGGCAGCAGUUGGGAAUAUUGCACAAGGGGCGAAAGCCUGAUGGAGCCAUGCCGCGUGUAUGAAGAAGGACUUCGGGUAGCAGAAUACUUGCAGUCGUGAGGGGUUACAGACAGAAGAAGAACCGGCUAACUCCGUGCCAGCAGCCGCGGUAAUAC
rnacentral:rRNA from 1 species